CGCGGCCUAUCAGCUUGUUGGUGGGGUGAUGGCCUACCAAGGCGACGACGGGUAGCCGGCCUGAGAGGGUGUCCGGCCACACUGGGACUGAGAUACGGCCCAGACUCCUACGGGAGGCAGCAGUGGGGAAUAUUGCACAAUGGGCGCAAGCCUGAUGCAGCGACGCCGCGUGGGGGAUGACGGCCUUCGGGUUGUAAACCUCUUUCACCAUCGGCGAAGCCGGGAGCUUGUGUUUCCGGUGACGGUAGGUGGAGAAGAAGCACCGGCCAACUACGUGCCAGCAGCCGCGGUAAUACGUAGGGUGCGAGCGUUGUCCGGAAUUACUGGGCGUAAAGAGCUCGUAGGUGGUUUGUCGCGUUGUCCGUGAAAUUCCCUGGCUUAACUGGGGGCGUGCGGGCGAUACGGGCAGACUGGAGUACUGCAGGGGAGACUGGAAUUCCUGGUGUAGCGGUGGAAUGCGCAGAUAUCAGGAGGAACACCGGUGGCGAAGGCGGGUCUCUGGGCAGUAACUGACGCUGAGGAGCGAAAGCGUGGGGAGCGAACAGGAUUAGAUACCCUGGUAGUCCACGCCGUAAACGGUGGGUACUAGGUGUGGGUUUCCUUCCUUGGGAUCCGUGCCGUAGCUAACGCAUUAAGUACCCCGCCUGGGGAGUACGG
rnacentral:rRNA from 1 species